AGGUUGACCUCGGAUCAGGUAGGGAUACCCGCUGAACUUAAGCAUAUCAAUAAGCGGAGGAAAAGAAACCAACAGGGAUUGCCUCAGUAACGGCGAGUGAAGCGGCAAGAGCUCAAAUUUGAAAUCCGGCCCCUCUGGGGGCCUGAGUUGUAAUUUGCAGAGGAUGCUUCGGGCGCGACCGCGGUCCAAGUCCCCUGGAACGGGGCGUCGUAGAGGGUGAGAAUCCCGUCUCCGGCCGGCCGGUCUCGCCCGUGUGAAGCUCCUUCGACGAGUCGAGUUGUUUGGGAAUGCAGCUCCAAAUGGGUGGUAAAUUUCAUCUAAAGCUAAAUACUGGUCGGAGACCGAUAGCGCACAAGUAGAGUGAUCGAAAGAUGAAAAGCACUUUGAAAAGAGAGUUAAACAGCAUGUGAAAUUGUUGAAAGGGAAGCGCUUGCGACCAGAGUCGGCCGCGGGGGUUCAGCGGGCAUUCGUUGCCUGUGCAAUCCCCCGCGGCCGGGCCAGCGUCGGUUUCGACGGCCGGUCAAAGGCCCCCGGAAUGUGUCGCCUCUCGGGGCGUCUUAUAGCCGGGGGUGCAAUGCGGCCAGUCGGGACCGAGGAACGCGCUCCGGCACGGACGCUGGCUUAAUGGUCGUCAGCGACCCG
rnacentral:rRNA from 1 species